rnacentral:rRNA from 1 species
AAAUUGAAGAGUUUGAUCAUGGCUCAGAUUGAACGCUGGCGGCAGGCCUAACACAUGCAAGUCGAACGGUAGCACAGAGAGCUUGCUCUCGGGUGACGAGUGGCGGACGGGUGAGUAAUGUCUGGGAAACUGCCUGAUGGAGGGGGAUAACUACUGGAAACGGUGGCUAAUACCGCAUAACGUCGCAAGACCAAAGAGGGGGACCUUCGGGCCUCUUGCCAUCAGAUGUGCCCAGAUGGGAUUAGCUUGUUGGUGAGGUAACGGCUCACCAAGGCGACGAUCCCUAGCUGGUCUGAGAGGAUGACCAGCCACACUGGAACUGAGACACGGUCCAGACUCCUACGGGAGGCAGCAGUGGGGAAUAUUGCACAAUGGGCGCAAGCCUGAUGCAGCCAUGCCGCGUGUAUGAAGAAGGCCUUCGGGUUGUAAAGUACUUUCAGCGGGGAGGAAGGUGUUGCGGUUAAUAACCGCAGCAAUUGACGUUACCCGCAGAAGAAGCACCGGCUAACUCCGUGCCAGCAGCCGCGGUAAUACGGAGGGUGCAAGCGUUAAUCGGAAUUACUGGGCGUAAAGCGCACGCAGGCGGUCUGUCAAGUCGGAUGUGAAAUCCCCGGGCUCAACCUGGGAACUGCAUUCGAAACUGGCAGGCUUGAGUCUUGUAGAGGGGGGUAG